CCCAUAUGCAGUGUAUGAAAUAAGCCAAAAUCCCUGCCAGACAUGAGGGCUGGUAACUUGAAAAUGUUACCAGCACAAAAUGGAUUUAACCAGACCAGACACCAAGCAAGAUAUGGUGAAUUUACUCAGAUGUGUGGAACUUCUAAAUUUUUACCAGACCAUCGGGCCGGCUAGCUGUAAAUCUAGACCGUCCGUCUGAAAUCUAGCCCGUCUCGGGCAGUCGGACGGGCCUUAUUUCAUACACUGG